rnacentral:misc_RNA from 1 species
AAUUUGUUUCUCAUCCCCUUGUUCCUCUUUUUCUUUUUCUAUUGGUUCUACAUCAAUUUCAAUUUGGUAUUACAGCUUGCUCAACAUCAAUUUAGUAUCAACGCUUAUUGUACAUCAGAAAGAUUACCAGAAAAAACCCUAGUGAAAACGGAACUUUACUAUGUUCACCAUUUCAAGAUCUCAAGAGUUGAAAUUACCAGCCUUGAAGGAAUCAUUACUACAUUCCAAAGAAACAAAUUUUCAUGGAUAAAGUGAUGCCUAGGUUCCAGAUUUCAGUACAUACAACAGAGCUGCAUGUGUCAAAUUAGGAACCAUAUUUACUCAAAUAAUAUCCGAUUGCAACUGUAUCAUGUCCAUCAUCUUCCUACUCUUCCCCCUCAAUCCAAAAGCAUUUGAACAACCGAAAAACAAUACUGAAUUAUAGAGAGAGAGAGAGAGAG